rnacentral:rRNA from 1 species
GACGAACGCUGGCGGCGUGCCUAAUACAUGCAAGUUGAGCGCUGAAGGUUGGUACUUGUACCAACUGGAUGAGCAGCGAACGGGUGAGUAACGCGUGGGGAAUCUGCCUUUGAGCGGGGGACAACAUUUGUAAACGAAUGCUAAUACCGCAUAAAAACUUUAAACACAAGUUUUAAGUUUGAAAGAUGCAAUUGCAUCACUCAAAGAUGAUCCCGCGUUGUAUUAGCUAGUUGUUGAGGUAAAGGCUCACCAAGGCGAUGAUACAUAGCCGACCUGAGAGGGUGAUCGGCCACAUUGGGACUGAGACACGGCCCAAACUCCUACGGGAGGCAGCAGUAGGGAAUCUUCGGCAAUGGACGAAAGUCUGACCGAGCAACGCCGCGUGAGUGAAGAAGGUUGUCGGAUCGUAAAACUCUGUUGGUAGAGAAGAACGUUGGUGAGAGUGGAAAGCUCAUCAAGUGACGGUAACUACCCAGAAAGGGACGGCUAACUACGUG